rnacentral:rRNA from 1 species
GAUGAACGCUGGCGGCGUGCUUAACACAUGCAAGUCGAACGAAGCACUUCAAUCGAUUUCUUCGGAAUGAAGUUUUAGUGACUGAGUGGCGGACGGGUGAGUAACGCGUGGGUAACCUGCCUCACACAGGGGGGAUAACAGUUGGAAACGGCUGCUAAUACCGCAUGUGGUUAUUGGCUUUAGAAACCGGUAACUAAAGGAGCAAUCCGCUUUGGGAGGGACCUGCGUCCCAUCAGCUAGUUGGUGAGGUAAUGGCUCACCAAGGCUACGACGGGUAGGGGACCUGAGAGGGUGACCCCCCACAAUGGAACUGAAACACGGUCCAUACACCUACGGGUGGCAGCAGUAGGGAAUAUUGCUCAAUGGGCGAAAGCCUGAAGCAGCAACGCCGCGUGUGUGAUGAAGGCCUU